rnacentral:lncRNA from 1 species
UCAGCGGGCGGGGCGGAAGGGAGGAGCCAGGGUCUUCCUCCUCAUUUCUCUCUGCUUUAGUGGCAACUUGGGAAGUGGUUGGGUCACCGCCAGGGUUCCAGCUCCCAUGGGCAGCCCCCUGCCUGACUGUGGUUCCGGUGUCCCACACCUAGUCUGGUUCCCAGGCUUUGGGUAUCGGCACUUCCUCCCCGGUCUCUGGAGUCCCAGGUUGUCACAGCUGCCUGCCGCUGCUUGUCGCUGGAUCUUGACUAAGAGAAGCCCCUACUAUGUGCCAGGCUGGGAUCCCUGCCUUCAAGGAGCUUACAAUCUAGUGCGGAAAGGGACGUUUGUCAAAUCAUCCCAUGAAUAUGCAUAAAAGUUCAGACAGCACCCAGUGCUGUGAAGGCCACUGUCGGUGAGGGAAGACCCUAGAGAGGAGGCUUGAUCUCACUUGGGGCCUGGCAGGCACCUCGAGGAAGGGAUGUAUCUAAGAGACAGGAUCUCAUGUUAUUUAGGCUUGUCUGGGACUCCUGGCCUCAAGCAAUCCUCCUGCCUCGGCCUACCGAAGUGCUGGGAUUACAGGCAUGAGCCACUGCACCCGGCCACCAGCAUUUGUUAAAGUCUCACCACGGAUCAGGCUCUCAUCUAAAAAACUUGAAGUUGUCAUUCUGUGUCCUUACAGUAACCCCUCAAGCUGAAGACAAAAUAUUUGCCAGUCUUGUUCAUGAAGGUAUUCCAAUGCCUAGAACAUUGCUUUUGCACAUAGUAGGUGCUCAACAAACGGGCCUUGCACACAGUAGUUAAUAUCACAGGUUAAAGACGAAGAAUAAGGGGGAUCCCUGCCUUGAUGGACAAGGAGAAAAGCAGGGCCCUGAUGAGGGAGCCCCGCACUGCCAGGAUGGAGCAGGAGUGUCAAAGGAAGCCUUCCAACAGCGGUGGCACAGGCGCCAAGGCAACAAGGAAGGGUGGGAGCUCUGCAAGGCACCGGGCACUCCAGGCAGAAGGACCUGUGUGGGGAAAAGCAAGGCAGCUGGAAAAAGCAAGCGGAGCUGCGAAGGCGCCAAGAACACAGUGAGAAGGUAGCCAGGAAGAGAGCCCUC